ensembl:lncRNA
UUUCUGGGUGUGGGUUGUACUGUUCUUAAGUUGUCACUGGUCAUCAGAAAAGCUCUGGGACGGAGGAUGUCUCUCAGGCUGAAGAGAUCAUACUCCCCAUGGCUAAAAACAGCCUUGGACCCUGCCAGAGUCUCACUCUGGUACCAGUCAUUUCACAGUGGGAACUCUGAAAGGCUCAGACUGACCCAACUGGACUUGGCUAAGUGGGAUGCAGGAGCUGCCAAAGCCCAUUCCACCAUGGGGCCCCUGGGCAGGGGUUCUGCAGCUGUUGGUGGGAGGUGGACGAUGGACCACCUCUGGGACACACAGUGCUCCUGAUCCACCACGGGAAGCUGCUCUGGUUCCUGUCUCUCUUCAGCAUUCAUAAUGAUAUCUUGGCUUGUUCAAGCUCUCUUCAUAAAUCCUGAUAAACUCCUAACCUCAAAAACAUCCUGUAACUAGGGGCUCCCUAGUCUAGUUGCCAUGUUGUGAGAAAAAGUGCUUCCCGUUAUCACCAUUACAUUUGCAGCUGCUGAGCUUCAUCAAAUCUCUUCAUGCCCUUGUUUUAAAGACAAUGUGAAUAUUAAUUCCUCUCUCCCUUAUUUAUGACACCCACUCUCUUCAUACAUCCAUUCUGCCCCCUCUUAUUAAUCUACCCUUGAAGGUAAACUGAGCCAGCUUUUUCAAUCUCUUCCUAUGGAAGUUUUGCUUGCCCACGUCAGUAAUGCAAUCAAUUAUUACGUACCUGCCUUGAAUAGGGCUCUGAAUCUGAAAGAACAAGGUGACUCUAUAUCACAUUAUUCAAAAGCAAGAACAAGCACCACUUCCUCUGAUAUAUCUACAGAAAUAACUUAAAGGAAAGGCUUAGAACAGCAUCUCCUGUCUUUGUAGUACAAUUUUUCUAUCAUUAUAUUCUGUACAGAAGGGCAUAUAUUUUAUUAAUCAUCAAAAACAAAUAGCUUUGUUAUCUUUUAUUUAAAGAGCUCUUAGCGCACUGUAUAAGAGCUAAAGGAGUACAUGCUUUUAAUUCCUUCCAUAAACAAAUCCACUGACUUGAUUUAUUUUUUAUUUUUAUUUUUUUUUACAUGUUGAAGGCACUAAGAGUUUAUGGUUUGCUAUAUGAUGCUCACUGCUAAUGGUACCCAUCACAUUUUUGUGGUAUCAGUGUUGUCUGUUUUCCAUAAAUGUGCCAUUAUAAUUCAAAACAGCAGCUUCAAAUAUGUUUUGCCUUUACCCAGCAGGAGAUCACAUCACGUUGUUUUACACUCCCAGUGGAAUUGCAAUAACUGAAGUAUAAUUUGUAUGGCCUUUCCAGUCUUUAAUGUUUAACCAAAGUACCCUGC